rnacentral:rRNA from 1 species
GACAGAGGGUGCAAACGUUGUUCGGAAUUACUGGGCGUAAAGCGCGUGUAGGCGGCAGGGCAAGUCGGAUGUGAAAUCCCAUGGCUCAACCAUGGAAGUGCACCCGAAACUGCCCAGCUAGAGUCUCGGAGAGGAAGGCGGAAUUCUCGGUGUAGAGGUGAAAUUCGUAGAUAUCGAGAGGAACACCGGUGGCGAAGGCGGCCUUCUGGACAGUGACUGACGCUGAGACGCGAAAGCGUGGGGAGCAAACAGG